AUUGAACGCUGGCGGCGUGCCUAACACAUGCAAGUCGAGCGGUAACAGGUGCAGCAAUACAUGCUGACGAGCGGCGGACGGGUGAGUAACGCUUGGGAAUCUGCCUAUUAGUGGGGGACGAACCCGGGGAAACGUCGGGCUAAUACCGCAUACGCUCUACGGAGGAAAGCCGGGGACCGGCAAGGCCUGGCGCUAAUAGAUGAGCCCAAGUCGGAUUAGCUAGUUGGUAGGGAAUGGCCUACCAAGGCGACGAUCCGUAACUGGUCUGAGAGGACGACCAGUCACACCGGAACUGAGACACGGUCCGGACUCCUACGGGAGGCGAGCAGUGGGGAAGUAUUGGACAAUGGGCGAAAGCCUGAUCCAGCGACGCCGCGUGGGUGAAGAAGGCCUGCGGGUUGU
rnacentral:rRNA from 1 species